UUUACACGUACGUGAGGCCUUCUAAGAGACUUACCCAUAUGUGGAAAUGUUCUUGACUCUGAUUACAUGUGCAGUUCUACAGAAUUGUUUCUACUUCUCUUUGAAUUAUCAGUUCUGACUGAAUUAACACCUGAUGCCAGGGUGAUUCUCCUCAGCUCUUCCUUACAAACACAGAAGUACAGCAUUAAGGACCCA